rfam:Triticum aestivum genome assembly, contig: Triticum_aestivum_CS42_TGACv1_scaffold_036685_1BL
CAUGUACUUCCUCCGUUCGGAAUUACUUAUCACAAAAACGGAUGUAUCUAUAACUAAAAUACAUCUAGAUACAUUCAUUUUAUGGACGAGUAAUUCCGAACGGAGGGAGUAAGUU